rnacentral:rRNA from 1 species
UGGGCAACCUUGCCCCUAGCUCUGGGAUAACUGACGGGAAACUGUAGCUAAUACCGGAUGUGACACGAGACUGCAUGGUCUUCGUGUGGAAAGAUUUAUCGGCUAGGGAUGGGCCCGCGGUCUAUCAGCUUGUUGGUGGGGUAAUGGCUCACCAAGGCGACGACGGAUAACCGGCCUGAGAGGGCGACCGGUCACACUGGGACUGAGACACGGCCCAGACUCCGUACGGGAG